rnacentral:misc_RNA from 1 species
GAUGAAGAACGUAUCGAAAUGCGAUAAGUAAUGUGAAUUGCAGAAUUCAGUGAAUCAUCGAAUCUUUGAACGCACAUUGCGCCCCCUGGCAUUCCGGGGGGCAUGCCUGUCCGAGCGUCAUUACAACCCUCAAGCUCAGCUUGGUGUUGGGCCCCGCCGCCCCGGCGGGCCCUAAAGUCAGUGGCGGUGCCGUCCGGCUCCGAGCGUAGUAAUUCUUCUCGCUCUGGAGGUCCGGUCGCGUGCUCGCCAGCAACCCCCAAUUUUUUUCAGGUUGACCUCGGAUCAGGUAGGGAUACCCGCUGAACUUAAGCAUAUCAAUAAGCGGAGGA